AGCGGCAGCGCGGGGGCAACCCUGGCGGCGAGCGGCGAACGGGUGAGUAACACAUCGGAACGUACCCCGUCGUGGGGGAUAACGAGUCGAAAGAUUCGCUAAUACCGCAUACGACCUGAGGGUGAAAGCGGGGGACCUGCGAGGGCCUCGCGCGAUGGGAGCGGCCGAUGUCCGAUUAGCUAGUUGGUGGGGUAAGAGCCUACCAAGGCGACGAUCGGUAGCUGGUCUGAGAGGAUGAUCAGCCACACUGGGACUGAGACACGGCCCAGACUCCUACGGGAGGCAGCAGUGGGGAAUUUUGGACAAUGGGCGCAAGCCUGAUCCAGCCAUUCCGCGUGAGUGAAGAAGGCCUUCGGGUUGUAAAGCUCUUUCGGCCGGGAGGAAAUCGGGCAGGUGAAUAAUCUGCCUGGAUGACGGUACCGGAAGAAGAAGCACCGGCUAACUACGUGCCAGCAGCCGCGGUAGUACGUAGGGUGCGAGCGUUAAUCGGAAUUACUGGGCGUAAAGCGUGCGCAGGCGGCUUUGUAAGACAGGUGUGAAAUCCCCGGGCUUAACCUGGGAAUGGCGCUUGUGACUGCAAGGCUUGAGUUCGGCAGAGGGGGGUGGAAUUCCACGUGUAGCAGUGAAAUGCGUAGAGAUGUGGAGGAACACCGAUGGCGAAGGCAGCCCCCUGGGUCGCGACUGACGCUCAUGCACGAAAGCGUGGGGAGCAAACAGGAUUAGAUACCCUAGUAGUCCACGCCCUAAACGAUGUCGACUAGGUGUUGGGGAAGGAGACUUCUUUAGUACCGUAGCUAACGCGUGAAGUCGACCGCCUGGGGAGUACGGUCGCAAGAUUAAAACUCAAAGGAAUUGACGGGGACCCGCACAAGCGGUGGAUGAUGUGGAUUAAUUCGAUGCAACGCGAAAAACCUUACCUACCCUUGACAUGCCAGGAACCUUGCUGAGAGGUGAGGGUGCCCGAAAGGGAGCCUGGACACAGGUGCUGCAUGGCUGUCGUCAGCUCGUGUCGUGAGAUGUUGGGUUAAGUCCCGCAACGAGCGCAACCCUUGUCGCUAAUUGCCAUCAUUCAGUUGGGCACUUUAGCGAGACUGCCGGUGACAAACCGGAGGAAGGUGGGGAUGACGUCAAGUCAUCAUGGUCCUUACGUCUGGGGCUACACACGUGCUACAAUGGCAGGUACAGAGGGCUGCGAAAGAGCAAUCUGUAGCCAAUCCCUAAAGCCUGCCUCAGUUCGGAUUGUCGUCUGCGACUCGACGGCAUGAAGCUGGAAUCGCUAGUAAUCGUGGAUCAGCGACGCCACGGUGAAUACGUUCCCGGGCCUUGUACG
rnacentral:rRNA from 1 species